CUUCCCAGCCCCGCCCGCCGCCCCGCGCCGCCACCUGCGGGCCGCCCUCCAGGAUGCCCGCCGGCCACGUCCUAGUCGCCUGGAGCCGCGCCCCGCCUUCCUCGCCCGCGGCUGCCCCUGCACUUUUACCCACGCCGUGGGGCACAGAGAAGUAUCCGGGGUCAUAGAGGACAUUGGGAGGACUUGAAGAAGACUCAGACCAGAACCAAAGGUGUAAGGAAACUAAACCCUGCAAAACCUGAUUUCUCAUACUGGCAUAGACUUGACUUGAAGAGAUCAUCAAGUGUAUAGUGAAGAUUGGCUCAGGCAAGAAUCAUCCAUGAAUGCUUACUCUAGGGGGCUGUUACUGGCUGGCAGAUAUUUGUCUGGGUUGAUGUGUCUCCCCAUAGAUGGUUUAGACCUGUUAGUAGCAAAAGCGGAAAUAGUAACUAUACAAAGAGGCAGGCAGACAGCAUCUUAACCAGGUGAUCAAAAUUUACAUCACCAAUGAGAGCAGAUGGAUAUCAUGUCCACAUCAGCUAUGCAGUAUUCCUGGGGACAAUGCAUAACCUGAAUCAUGAUAGUGAAACAUCGGACAAACCCAAAAUGAGGAACAUCUAUUAAAAAGAGGAAGGGUCUGUAUUAUUCAAAAAUGUCAAGGUCAUUAAAAUCAAAAGAAAGCUUGGGAAAUGUUCCAGAUUAAAGGGUGCAAAAGAGUCAGGGCAGCUAAAUGCCAUGCCUGAUCCUAGACUGCAUCCUGUGCUAGAGGAGGGGAAAUACAUCACGGACAUUCCAGCUGACAAAAUCAGAAUCCAUGUAAGAGAUUAAAGUAUUGGAUCAAUGUUAAAUGUACUGAUGUUGAUAACUUCCACUGUAAUUAUGUACAAGAAUAUCUAAUUCUUGGGAAAUACACACUAAAGUAUCUUGAAAGGGUAAAGGUCAUAAUGUAUGCAGCUUACCUUCAAAUGAUUCAGGGGAAAAAAAAUCUUGAUAGGAAAAAAUGAUAAAGCCAAGUGGGCAAUAAAGGUAAGGUGCAUAUUAUCAGUGAAUCAGCAUAUAGAGUGUACUUGAACAUUUCUGUAAGUUUGAACUUAUUUCCAAAUAAAAAGAUUUGGAAAAAUCCAUCAAGUUGGGGAAUGAAGUAAGGUGGAAAGAAAGCAGGUAUGAUAUAAAAGGGCAACACAAGGGAUCCUUGUGAAUUUGGAACUGUUAAACAUCUUGAGUAUGGUAGUACAGGUGAUAAAAUUAUCUAGAACUUAAUAUACACACAAAUGAGUACAAGUAAAACUGGGAAAAUCUGAAUAAGAUAGGUAAAUUGUAUCAAUGUCAAUAUCCUAGUUAUGAUAUCAUAUUAAGGUUUUGCAAAUGUUGUCAUUGGGGGAAACUAGGCCAAAUAUAUAUAUGUGUGUGUGUGUGUGUAUUUUUUUUUUCCCAAGACGGAGUUUUGCUCUUGUUGCCCAGCCUGGAGUGCAAUGGCACAAUCUCAGUUCACUGCAACCUCCACCUCCCAGGUUCAGGGAAUUCUCCUGCCUCAGCCUCCUGAGUAGCUGGGAUUACAGGCGUGCACCACCAUGCCUGGCUAAUUUUUGCAUUUUUAGUAGGGAUGGGGUUUCACCAUGUUGGUCAGGCUGGUCUCGAGCUCCUGACCUCAGGUGAUCCACCUGCCCCAGCCUCCCAAAGUGCUGGGAUUACAGGCAUGAGCCACCGCACCUGGCCCAAAUAUAUUAUUUCUUAGAAAUGAAUGUGAAUCUACCAUUAUCUCAAUGCAAUUUUUAAUUACAAAAAAAAUCAUUUUUAAUUACAAAAAAACUGUAUGUAAAUGGGCAUGCCCAUCAGGGAGCAUGCCAGAGCAGAUAUGCUGGAGCUCUCAUAGUGGAUCUAGAAUAGACAUGGUGCUGUUACCAACAGUGAAGGCUUUCAAGAAAAAAAAAAAAUUAGACUAUUUGAAGUAUAACUGACCGAUCAGAUUCCUUCCAGUUCUGUAAUUUAACAAUCCUAGAGCUGGGGGUUCUUUGAGAUCAUCUAGUCCAACCUACUCAUUUUCUGGAAACUGUGGGCAGAAAAGUAGUGUGUGUCCACAGGAGCAUCAAAUUAGCGGUAGACCCGUUAACUACUGCUUGUCUGCCAAAUAUGUUCUACUUUCUUUACACCUUUACCAGCUGUCUGUCACUCCCUAUAUCUAUGAGAUUCAGUUAAGGCUGGUAGAAAAUUUUGAAGUCAUUCAUUCUUUGGAGUCCCUGAUUUGUUCUGUAGUGCCAGAUGACAGGCAUGUGGAUUCUGCCCCUGAGGAGUAGGGACCAGUUUUCCUCUCCUACUCUCAGCUUGGAGGAAGCAGAUGGCAGGCGGGGCCCCAGUGACAGCCCCAGUUCUGGGCCUGACUGAGCUGAUGAACUACUUGGAGCAGCUGCUGACCUGCUGCUGCUGGAAGCCAGUGGAACAGGAACCUGGGAGGGAAGCAGAAUGGAUACAAGAAAGGAAAACAGUAAUUGCCCUGGUAAGUCCUCCCUUCAUCCAGCAUGAGGCAGAAGUAGCUGCAACAGAGGCAACUGGCUUCCCUUGAGCCACAGAUAGCCACUGUAUUCUUUCCUUUUGUUGAAUCAAAUCGAAAUUAAUCUAUGUUUACUUGCAUUUGCCAGGCCCUCGUUAGUAACUGUGGGAAAAUACAAAAUAGAAUAUCUGAUCCCUACCCAUUAGGAACCCAGAAUGCAUCCAGGGACCCAAGGUGGAAAUGUUGAAAGUGACCCAACAAAAGCAAUUAAAAGGCUAGCUAUAUUAGCUGGGGUUCCCCCCAAAAGCAACAUUGGAGAAGGACUCAUGGGCAGAUACUUUCUUCUGGAAAAUGAUCCCGUAGGAUAUGGGUAGAAAAAGAAAUUGGGACCAGAAAGAAUGAAACAGGAAAGAAAGAAAGCCUAUUGAAGGAUAUAAAAUUUCUGUAAACAACUGGAGCUUAGUCCCACUGAGGCCCCCUGAGGAACUGCGCAGAAUGUAAGACAGAGGAGGAAAUAUUUAGCCACCAGUUCCUAUCUCCCAUUGGCCAACUUGAUGCUGAGUUCAGGAGUGGUGGCUCACACCUGUAAUCUCAGCAUUUUGGGAGGCCAAGGUGGGUGGAUCACUUGAGCCUCAGAGUUCAAGGCCAGCCUAAGCAACAUAGCAAGACCCCAUCUCUACAAAAGAAAAAUUUAAAAAUUGGCUAUGGAAGUAUGAAGGUAUAUGCCUGUAGUUCCAGUUACUCAAGAGGCUGAAGCAGGAGGAUUGCAUGAACCCCUGAACUCAAGACUGCAGUGAACUAUAACUGAACGAUGGCACUGCAGCCUGAGCAACAGAGCAAAACUCUUGUCUCAAAAAAAAAAAAAAAAGUAGAUGCUGAGCAAAAAAAGCUAACUAAGAUACAACAUGGGACAUAUAUAAAAGAUGCCUGACACCAGCUUUAUUCAUUGCUGCAGUCCCAGCACCAACAACAGUGCCUGACUCAUAGAUGCCCCGUCAAUAGAUACAGAAAGAAUGUCUGGGUGCGGUGGCUCAUGCCUGUAAUCCCAGCAUUUUGGGAGGCCAAGGCAGGCAGAUCACUUGAGGAGGAUCACUUCAACUUCUGUUGAAGACCAGCCUGGCCAACAGGGUGAAACCCCGUUUCUACUAAAAAUACAAAAUUAGCUGGCAUGGUGGUGCAUGUCUGUAAUCCCAGCUACUUGGGAGGCUGAGGCAGGAGAAUCAUUUGAACCCAGGAGGCAGAGGUUGCAGUGAGCAGAGAUCAUGCAGUUGCACUCCAGCCUGGGCGACAGAACGAGACUCUGUCUCAGAAAAAAAAGAAAAACAAAAAGAAAAAAAAAAAAGGGCGGGACGAGGUGGCUCACACCUGUAAUCCUAGCACUGUGGGAGUCCGAGUCGGGCAGAUCACCUAAGGUCCGGAGUUCCAGACCGACCUGGUUAACAUGGUGAAACCCCGUCUCUACUAAAAAUACAAAACAAAUUAGCUGGGAGUGGUGGCACAUGCCUGUAGUUCCAGCUACUCGGGAGGCCAAGGCAGGAAAAGCUCUUGAACCAGGGAGACGGAGGUUGCAAUGAGUCAAGAUCGCACCACUGCACUCCAGCCUGGGCGACAGAGCGAGACUCCAUCUCAAAAAAAAAAAAAAGAAUGAAUGAAAUACUGUAAAAAGUAGAUCCAUAAGUCAUAUAUUGACAGUUUUGCGUGUGUGUCUAUUUUUUUUGGUUUUUGUUUUUAUUUUUUUUAGAGACGAGGUCUUGCUGUGUUGCUCAGGCUGGUCUCCAACUCCUGAGCUCAAGCAAUUCUCCCACCUGAGAUUCCCAAAGCGCUGGGAUUACAGGAGUGCACCGCCAUGCCCAGCCUGUGUCUGUUGGACUAGGCUAGGGUGAUAGAGUAGUGGGUAAAACAGAUGCAUUCCUCAGCCUGGGCAAAAUAGGGAGGCCCUGUCUCUACAAAAAAAUCAAAAAACUAGUCAGGGAUAGUGACAUGUGCCUGUGGUCCCAGCUACUUUGGAGCCUGAGGUGGGAGGACUGCUUGAUCCCAGGAGGUCUAGGCUGCAGUGAGCCAUGAUUGUGCCACUGCAUUCCAGCCUGGGUGACAGAAGGAUACCCAGUGUCAAAAAAGAAAAAAAAAACGGGUAUAUUCCUAGCCCUAAUGGACCUUUCUGUCCAGGAGAGGAGUCAGAUAAUGUGAUACACAUAUACAUAUUUAAUUAGUUUGUGAAGGCCAGGCAUGGUGGCUCACGCCUGUAAUCCCAGCACUUUGGGAGGCCAAGGCAGGCAGAUCACUUGAGGUCAGGAGUUUGAGAUCAGCCUGACCAACAUGGUGAAACCCCUGUCUCUACUAAAAAUACAAAAAUUAGCCAGGCGUGGUGGUGUGCGUCUGUAAUCCCAGCUACUCGGGAGGCUGAGGUGAGAGGAUCAUUUGAACCCGGGAGGUAGAGAUUGCAUUGAGCCAAGAUCGCACCACUGCACUUCAGCCUGGGUGGCAGAGUGAGACUCUGUCUCAAAAAAACAAACAAAAAAAAAAUAGUUUGUGAAAAGUGCUAUGAAGAAAAAGAUGCAGGUGCUGUAAGUAGGAUAAGAAGGGGGUUUAUGAUAAAUCAGUUGGUUGAGGAAGAUCUAAGGCGCUAACACUUAAGCUGAGACCCAAAGGAGGAACAGGAACCAACCAUGCAAAGUGGAGGGGCAAGAUCAGACCCAGAAGUGGGAAAGGCCCUCGAUGGCUGGAGCCAUGGUGGGGUUUCAGGGAAAAGCCAGGCAAUGAGACUUCAUGGUUCUGGUAAGGAGUAAAGAGUUUUAGGUAAGACUGACAUGGUCACAUUCACUUUCUAAAAACCUCCUUCUAGCCGCUGUGUGGAGGAUGAACUCAAGUGGAUAAUCAAAAACCUCCACACUGCUGGCUGUGGAGGGUGUGAAUACCAGACCACAUCAAGACCAGCACAGAAGGGUCAGCUGCCACAGCAUCUCCUCUACCACCACUACUGCCACCAGUAAUUCUUCAGGAAUAUGCUAAAACCCACUGUAACAUAAAUGGGUUCAAAAAUGGCAAUUGGUAGACUAUCGGGUUCCAUAGCUGAAGGUUAAUUAAAACCAAUAUUUCUAGGCCGGGUGCGGUGGCUCACGCCUGUAAUCCCAGCACUUUGGGAGGCCGAGGCGGGCGGAUCACGAGGUCAGGAGAUCCAGACCAUCCUGGCUAACACGGUGAAACCUGUCUCUACCAAAAAUACAAAAAAUUAGCCAGGCGUGGUGGCGGGCACCUGUAGUCCCAGCUACUCGGGAGGCUGAGGCAGGAGAAUGGCGUGAACACGGGAGGCGGAGCUUGCAGUGAGCCAAGAUCGUGCCACUGCACUCCAGCCUGGGCGACAGAGUGAGACUCCUUCUCAAAAACCAAACCAAACCAAACAAAACAAACAAAAUCAAUAUUUCUAGCCUGGGCAACAUAGGGUGACCUUGUCUCUACAAUUUUUUUUAAUUGGCUAGGUGUGGUGGUGCAUGCCUGUGGUCCCAGCUACUCAGGAGGCUGAGGUGGGAGGAUUGCUUGAGCAUGGGAAGUAGAGGCUUCAGUGAGCCAUGAUUGCACCACUACAUUCCAGCCUGGGCGACAGAGCAAGACCCUGUCUAAAAGAAAAAAAAAAAAACUCUCAGACAAUCUUACAAUUAGUGUGUGAGGGAAAGGGGAAAAAUGUUUUCUAUUAUUACAUGUGUAGGAAAUGGAACAAUUACAACAAACAAAGUAUCAGCUUGAAUUGAACUGAGAGCACCCCACAUGAUUGUGGGGUAUUCAUCUAUAAUCACCCCAAACACAUACAUACUCUAAGAAAAGAGCUUGAACCUGUCACCAUUUCAGAAGGAGAGCAGAGUCCAAUUAUGUUUCAUCCACAUGCACAUUAUCCUGAAAUCUCUUUUUUUUUUUUUUUUUUUUGAGACAGGGUCUUGCUCUAUUGCCCAGGCUAGAGUGCAGUGGUACGAUCUCAGUUCACUGCAACCUCCACCUCCCGGGUUCAAGCAAUUCUCCUGCCUCAGCCUCCCGAGUAGCUUGGAUUACAGGCACAUGCCACCGUGCCCGGCUAAUUUUUGUAUUUUUAGUAGCGAUGGGGGUCUCACCAUGUUGGCCAGGCUGGUCUCGAACUCCUGGCCUCAAGUGAUCCGCCCACCUCAGCCUCCCAAAGUGCUGGGAUUACAGGCAUGAGCCACAACAUUCGGCUCCCCCUUUUUUUUUUCUUAGAGACGGUGUCUCGCUCACUGCGCUGCCACCCCCCUUUUUUUUUUCUUAGAGAUGGUGUCUUGCUCUGGCACCCAGGCUGGAGUACAGUGGUGCUAUGAUCACUCACUGCAGCCUCAAACUCCUGGGCUCAAGCGAUCUUACUGCCUCAUCCUCCCAGGUAGCUGAGACUACAGGUGCAUGCCACCAAGCCCAGUUAAUUUUUUUUGAGGGGGGGUAGAGAUUAGGGGGCACAUGUCUCACUAUGUUGCACAGGCUGGUUUUGAACUUCUGGCCUCGUGAUCCUCUACCUUUGCCUCCCAAAGUGCUGGGAUUAUAGCUAGGAGCCACCGUGCCCAGCCAUCAUAGAAUAUUUUAUGCCAGAUUUUAAUCUCACAUUUAUUGAGCACAGUUUGCACCAAGCACUGUGCUAAGUAGCACUGCACUAAGUGCUUUAUUUUUUUAAUUUUUAUUUUAUUUAUUUAUUUAUUUUUGAGACAGAGUCUUAUUCUAUCACCCAGGCCAGAGUGCAGUGGCAAGAUCUCAGCUUACUGCAACCUCGGCCUCCAGGGUUCAAGCAAUCCUCUUGCCUCAGCCUCCUGAGUAGCUGGGACUACAGGCGUGUGUGCGCCACCAUGCCCAGCUAAUUUUUGUAUUUUUAGUAGAAAUGGAGUUUUGCCAUGUUUGCCAGGCUGGUCUCGAGCUCUUGACCUCAGGUGAUACUCUUGCCUUGGCCUCCAAAGUGCUAGGAUUACAGGUGUGAGCCACUGCACCCAGCCAUGUGCUAAGUGCUUUAGUAACAUCAGUUCCUUCAUUCUGACAGCAACUCUAUGAGACAGCUAUUAUCUGCAGUUUAUAGAUAAGGAAACUGACCCUUGGAUAAGUGAAUUAACGUAUACAGUCAUAAACUAUUGAAAAAGUCAGGCUGCUAGCCCCAUAUGACUGAUUAAACACUUUGCUUUUGUCUCUGCGAAGUAAAAGAGAGUCAACCUCAGUCUUGGGUAAUGGGAAGAAUGAAGAGGAGAGGAAUGGCACGGGAAAAGAAUUCUAGGAUUAAGACAUGAGGGGCUGGGCAUGGUGGCUCAAGCCUGUAAUCCCACCACUUUGGGAGGCUGUGGCAGGUGGAUUGCUUGAGCUCAGGAGUUCGAGACCAGCCUGGGCAACA
rnacentral:lncRNA from 1 species